rnacentral:snRNA from 1 species
GUGGAAAAACCACAGCACAUAUACUAAAAUUGGAACGAUACAGAGAAGAUUAGCAUGGCCCCUGUGCAAGGAUGACACACAAAUUUGUGAAGCGUUCCAUAUUUUU